rnacentral:rRNA from 1 species
AUUGAACGCUGGCGGCAGGCCUAACACAUGCAAGUCGAACGAGUGGCGGACGGGUGAGUAAUGUCUGGGAAACUGCCCGAUGGCGGGGGGUAACUACUGGAAACGGUAGCUAAUCCCGCAUACCAUCGGAUGUGCCCAGAUGGGCUUAGCUAGUAGGUGGGGUAACGGCUCACCUAGGCAAAGAUCCCUAGCUGGUCUGAGAGGAGGACCAGCCACACGUGAACUGAGACACGGUCCAGACUCCUACGGGAGGCAGCAGUAGGGAAUAUUGCACAAUGGGCGCAAGCCUGAUGCAGCCAUGCCGCGUGUAUGAAGAAGGCCUUCGGGUUGUAAAGUACUGUCAGCGAGGAGGCGUUACUCGCAGAAAAAGCACCGGCUAACUCCGUGCCAGCAGCCGCGGUAAUUC